UCUCGAUCGGGCCCUCUCUGCCUGCUGGCCUAUACACUGGAAAGGAAAGAGAAGGGGACCCUCGAGAAGGAGGAGAAGGAGAAGAAGAAUCUUCUCCGGCCAGGCCACCAACUUCUCUGCUAGUAUGCAGCUGAGGUCUUGUACUUUGUAUGUUGCCAGCUGCCUUCUCUUGAUCACACGUGUGGCGUGGAGAUAUUGCCCUAGGUGCUGUGGGCAGGUCCAUGGUAAAAAACAACGGACGUCCAUGCUAAACAGAUCCCCUUCUCUGAAACCUGCCGCUGCUGCAGUUCUUACACCGAGCUGAGACCUAGUGCUCCUGCAGUUUACUUGGGUUCAGAUGACAUGUGUUUCGUUGUCACCGCAGUGUAAACUACUGCAGACCAUUGGUGCUCCAAAUGUCAAGCGUCUGCAGGUGGAUUCAACGCCCGUUUACUCUUGUUACGCCAUGGGGUCUGUCUGGUGGUUCGAUUGACACACGCUGGCUGCCACCGGUGACAGGACAAAAUCCUCCCUGCCCUACCCUACCACGCUCAGCACGGCCCCUUUCAUCACAAUCAUUAUCUAUUAUUACAUUCUACACGAAAUAUGCUCGAUUCGCACUAUGAUAACCCUGCGUCGUUGUCGCCCCGUCGUUUUGUUGGAUCCAAUCCCCUGAAUGCCUCUUCUCCUGCCAUAUGGCUUGUUCCUGGUGAGGCUGAGCUACACGACGUUCAGAAGGGGACACAAGGGACCUGCAUUUAUACAUCGGGAGACGUCUCAGGUUUGCACUGCACCCAAAACGACCAAGGGGAAGGAAGGAAGGAAGGAAACGUGUCUAGCGCAA